AAGCAUCAAAAUAUAUAUAAUUUAUUUGAAAAAAAAGAACACUUAGAUGAAAUGAAAAAAGUAAAAGAAUUAAAAAAAAGUGAAAUUAAAGAAUUUGUACUUACAUAUAAUGAGUUGACUUCACCUAGUAUGAAUUAUGAAACAAUGAUGGAAAAUAAUAAAGACAAUAUAGAAUUCCAAAAAGAAAUUGGAAACAAUGUAGUAACUACUCAAAUAAAUAAAAAUAAAAUAGAUUUACAUUAUUUAAGAAAACAAAAUAAACAACUAAAAGAAGAAAUAAAUUAUGCUACUAAAUAUGGACAUGUAGAAGGUAUAAAUAUGAAAAAUCAGUCAAAUGAAAAACAUAAUAAAAACAAUUUUAUAAAUGAAUACGAUUCUUAUUUUGAUACAUACACACAAACAGAAUCAAGUGGGGAGACAAAUAGGGGCAUGUCCGAAAAUGACACAUAUGGUGAAGACACAUUUGGUGAAAACAGAUAUGGUCAAGACAGAUAUGGUGAAAACACAUACGGCAAUAACAAAUACGAUGAAGAAGCAAAUAAUGAUAUAUAUAAAAUAAAAAAUCACGAUAAAAUAAAUAACAAUAGUUAUAAUCUUUCUGAAGAUGAUAACAACAAAUCUACUUUAUUAUAUUUAAAAAAAAAUAUAUCAGAAAUAAAACAAAGUGUAUUAAAUGAAUAUAAUAAUAAAAAUACGAAUGAGCUGGAAAAAAAAAAUUACACAAAUUGUGAUAUUAACAACGUUGAUAAUAAUAUUAAGAAUAAAAAUAAUGAUAUAACACAUGAAACAUUAUUAACUAACUUGUAUGAGAAAAGCAAGGUUGAAAAUGUGAAUAAAAAUUAUAAACAGGCAAAUGUAAAUCAGCUCAAUGGGAUAAGUGACUAUCAUGGCCAUAUUAGCGAAAUACAAACAAGUAAUAAAAAUAAUACAUCCUACAAAGGAAAAAUGGUGGAAACUUAUUUAAAUGACGUAGGAGAUGGAGAGGAAGAGGGAGAGGAAGAGGGAGAGGAAGAUGAAGAGGGAGAGGAAGAUGAAGAGGGAGAGGAAGAGGAAGAUGAAGAGGAAGAAGAAGAAGAAGAAGAAGAAGAAGAAGGAGGAGAAGAAGGAGGAGGAGAAGAGGACGAUAUUGAAAACUUGGAUGUCGAACAAACAAGAAUAAAAAAAGUAUAUGACUAUUUGUUGCCUAAUGGAAAUAAAAAAAAGUUACCUUUUGAACAUGGUAAUGAGAUUGAGUUUGACCAGAGUAAUAGUGACAUGUAUAAGCAGGAAGUGGAUAAACAUGAUGCAGACAAUCAGGAUGCAGACAAUCAGGAUGCAGACAAACAGGAUGCGGACAAAGACAACGAAGAUUCAUUUUUUGACAUAAAAGAACAACUACAAUAUAUUUUGAAUCAAAAUAUAAAUAUGAACAUUGCACAUAAUGAGGAAAAGUGUAUAGAAGAAGCAUCAAAAUUAUUUGGAGAAGACAUAAAAACAUGGUAUGAUAAAAUGUACUAUUAUUUUGGUAGUCCUGACAAUGUAUCACUAGAUAAUUUACAAAUAUAUGAUGAUGAAGAAUAUAAAAAAGGAAUAAGUAAUACUCAAAAUACUGAUUUUUCUGAUUACGAAAAAUUAUUAAAUAAAAAUUCUUGGGCUGUUGAUAAUGAACAAGGUUUUAUAGCAGCGAAUUAUAAGGACAAUAUAAAUAACAUGAUUAGUACCUCAAAUGAUAGUAGUAAUAAUAAUAAAUUGAAUCAUAAUAAAAAUAAUAAACAUAUAAAAGAAUUUAAAACCAAUAUUAAUAAUAACAAAAUGGACACUACACAACAAUAUGAUAGUAUUGAUAAAUUACAAAUAGAACAACAAAACCCAUUGGAAAGAAAAACAAACAAUACAUCAUUAUCGGUUGAUUGUAUUGCAAAUGAACAAAAUGAAUAUGGAGAACAUCAUAUUGAUCAAUAUUUAGAAACGUUUUUUAGUGACAGUCAGGAUAAACCUGUGCAUGAAGAUAUACCGGGUGGUAUGUAUAAUGAUUUGUCACCUAACGUACAUAAUGAUAUGAAACACAAUGUAUAUAAUGAUUUAUCACAUACACUGCAUGACAAUAUGGUAUAUGACGCACAUGACUGUACAAAUAUAAAUAAAAUAAAUAACACAGUAGAAAAAAAACCAAUGAAUGAAUGUUCAAAUUCUAC
rnacentral:lncRNA from 1 species